GCUGGUCCCCGCAGCUCAGCGGACUCAGUAGCGGCCCGGGGCGCUCCGCCUGCUCCCGGGCUGCAUGCCUGCGAGCGCCUGGAGGAGCGAGCCUCAGGAGCGGCCCGCUGGCCACUGCUUCCCGGGCGCAGGGCUCGGGCGGCGUAGCUUGCACUUCCGAGACGCCUGCAGAGUAGGGCGGCCCGGGCUAACCUGCUGCCUCGCCCGGCCUGUCGCCGCCACCGCCACCGCCACCGCUGAGCGCGGCGUCGCGAGAUGAUCCUGAGCCUGUGAUGUGUCCUGCCUGCAAGCUUUGUAUGAACAUCCAGAACAACUGCUCUCCAUCCCGCGGAGGGAUGUGCGUAAUGUGGGCGUUUUCACCGCUGUAAUGAUGGCAGGCAACGGGAUAUGACAUUUAGUAGCCAAGAGACAAAGAUAUCAGCUGUCUCAAUAUAUAGACCCCUCCACAGUGACCAAGCGCCUCAUCUCCUGUAUGACCUCUCAAUGUGUUUAUAGACUUAUCACAGAACAGAGAAACAAACACCAAGACCCUCUGUAUACUGUUGCAGUUGAAAAACUAGCUCUAAGUUAGAUGGAUAAGGAAGUCAUUGUUGUAUAUGGACUUCAUUUUCCAUGAAUGCAGCUGCUAUAAAGACUGGUCCUUUGCUGGUUUAAAACUUCCAGGCAUCGGUGAGAUGGUUCAGCAGGAGCUUGCUGUCAAGCCUAAAGACCUGCAUUGGAUGCUCAGGACCCACCGAGUGGUAGGAGAGAACCAACCCCUUCUAGGGACUCUCUGAUCUCCACGCGUCAUGACAAGCAUCUUCCACAUACAUAAAAAUUAAUUAAUUAGAAAACUUUUCCAGGAGUCACUCACCAUUUCAGACAAUCCUGUCAGCUUCAGCUGUGCCUCUGUGACUUAUAAACACAGCUGGGCAGCUUCAAGGUUGAAAUUCUCACACUCUGACUGUGUACAAGUCCACGUAUUUAGCCCCUGUGUCAAAGGGUCAUAUGGUUAAAGUUUCAAAACUGUUUAGUGACCAUUUAGUUACUUCUCAUAUGUGGAAACGCAUUCACCAAAACCCUCCUCCCUCAUUGUUAAAACCUAGGUUAUGUUCCUGGACUCACACGGUGGAAUGAAGAGAGCAGGUUGGCCACUGAUCUCCACACAGGCUCUUCAGUGUGUGCGCACACACACACACACACACACACACACACACACACACACACACACACAUUAAUAAAUAUUAGUGCAAUAAUUUUUACAAAAAGAAAAUGAAAGGCUAAAACCCUUGUCUUUAAAAUUGUCCCUUUGCGUGUAGUUCAGUGAACUCUGAACCCUUCCUGGUGAUCUCCUGCCUGGUUUUGACUCUGUUUGUCCCUGUGUGGGGCAGGUGUUAACAGCCUCUAAUAUUGAACCCUUACCCCCAAGUUAAAUAGGCACAUGUGUAGGGAAGCCAUAUUGUUUUACAAAUAUCAAUGCCUUCCUGCUCAAAGCAGGAGCAGAAAGAACUGCUAUUCCAAAAGCAAGACAGAGGCAGGAUGUAGGUUUAUUUAGAUGAUAAAGAAACAGUGGCUAACAUUGCACUUUAUCAACGUAACUUGAAGUUGUACAUUCAGGGAGUGAGGGAGAGUCCCAGGAGUUCAGUGAAGUCCCUGUGUCAGGUGCUGGGAGAUGCUGGUUUUCAUCUCAGCAUUCUGUGAUCAGGCCAUGAGUUCUCUCAGCCUCUUUAUUCACUUUAUGAAGAAAGCUCUGGACUAGAGCAGGAAACUCCUGCGAAAUAUUUUGAAAACCUGUGGGGGUGUUUUGUUUUUUUAAACAGUUGGUGCACAUUUAUCUCUAUGAUUGUCCUUUAACAAUUUCAUACUGUACCUAAUGUAUUGUGACAAUGCUUUCAUUCCCCCCCUCCACUUUUUGCUCCUCCCUUCCCUAUCACUCCCCCCCCCCCCAUGCCCACUAGUCCCUUUUCCAGAUUCUUGACUUUUGGGUAUUCUCGUGGUCCAUUUAGUUGAAGCAGGCCCCAUCACGUGAAGGUUGGAUGAGGAUUAUCCAUUGGACCCUGGUGGGGUCACCACAUGGUACACAACAGAAGGCAAUACUUCCUCCUCUCUGAAUCUGUCAGUAGCACAUCUGUCAGCAGUGAGGGGUAGGGUUCCCUGAGCCAGAACAUGAGAUGGAGCUCUAACAGAACUUAGUGGGAGGGGAUCAGAAAGUUGUGGCAUCCUGUGGUGAGCAAGGCAUCCUGGACCAACAUUUUCCUACUCGUUUUUCAAGUAUGUUAAAUAAAUUGUUUCUAACUAUCUGUGCCUCUGUUAGCUUUUUGGUCACUGCGACUAAAUGCAUGAGAGAAACAACUGGAAGGAGGCAAGUUCCCUUCUGCUUCCUAGCUCCUGCUUAGAUGGAUUUCAGCCCAUGGCUGGCUGGGCUGGCUGCUUCUUAGGUCGAUGGUAAGGCAGAAGCAGCAUGGAAGAUGCUCACAGUGGAAGAAGGCUACUUCCAUGAUGGAGGUCAGGAUGCAGAGAGGCAAGCAGAAGCCUAGGCAGGAGCUGGGGCAGGAUGUCGCCCACAGGGCUGUGCCUGAGUGACCUACAUUCUCCCUCUAGUCCCACCUCCUAACAUUUGAACAUCUCCCAAAAUAAUGUCACCACUUGGGGUCUGAGAGGCUAACACAUGAGGCCAAUUUCACAUUCAAACUGU
ensembl:antisense A730056A06Rik RIKEN cDNA A730056A06 gene